AGCAGCCACCUUCAAAAAAGCGUUAAAGCUUCAUUGGUUUUUUAUAAAAAUCCCUUUAAUUUUUUAUAACCCCUAAUCUGUACUGAAUGGUCUCAUGACUUCAUGAGAGCCUAUAUGUUAGAACUAGUAACAAGAAGAAGCCCUUCUCCAAAAUGUAAGCAUGAGCCAAAACGAACAAUUCAUCGGCAUUUAAAGUUAAUAAUCUCCUAGUAGUAACUUUUCAAGAAAAACCUACUAUAUUUAACGUCAACCUUACACCAGCUCAUUUAUGGAAAGAUUAAAAGACUAGGAAGGAACUCGGCAAAUAAUUAACCCCGCCUGUUUACCAAAAACAUCGCCUCCUGAUUUUCAUAGGAGGUCUAGCCUGCCCAGUGACAAAGUUAAACGGCCGCGGUACCCUAACCGUGCAAAGGUAGCGCAAUCACUUGUUCUUUAAAUGAGGACUAGUAUGAACGGCAUCACGAGGGUUAUGCUGUCUCCCUACUUUAUUCAGUGAAACUGAUCUCCCCGUGAAGAAGCGGGGAUAAAAAUAUAAGACGAGAAGACCCCAUGGAGCUUUAAACUCAGUAUCAACUGCCAUUAUUAAAACCUAAUACCCAAGCAGUAUGUGACUACUAGUUUUCGGUUGGGGUGACCACGGAGUAAAACCUAACCUCCAUGAUGAAAGGAAAUGAUAACCUAAAUUAAGAGCAACAACUCUAAAUAUCAAAAAAUUGACUAAAUUGAUCCAAUUAAUUGAUCAACGAACCAAGUUACCCUGGGGAUAACAGCGCAAUCCAUUUCAAGAGCUCUUAUCGACAAAUGGGUUUACGACCUCGAUGUUGGAUCAGGGUAUCCCAGUGGCGCAGCCGCUACUAACGGUUC
rnacentral:rRNA from 1 species